AUUGAACGCUGGCGGCAUGCCUUACACAUGCAAGUCGAACGGCAGCGGGCCUUCGGGUGCCGGCGAGUGGCGAACGGGUGAGUAAUGCAUCGGAACGUGCCAUUGAGUGGGGGGAUAACGUAGCGAAAGUUACGCUAAUACCGCAUAUUCUGUGAGCAGGAAAGCAGGGGACCGCAAGGCCUUGCGCUCUUUGAGCGGCCGAUGUCAGAUUAGCUAGUUGGUGAGGUAAAGGCUUACCAAGGCGACGAUCUGUAGCGGGUCUGAGAGGAUGAUCCGCCACACUGGAACUGAGACACGGUCCAGACUCCUACGGGAGGCAGCAGUGGGGAAUUUUGGACAAUGGGCGCAAGCCUGAUCCAGCAAUGCCGCGUGCAGGAAGAAGGCC
rnacentral:rRNA from 1 species